CACUACCACGCCUGGAUGCCUUCGGCUCCAUUCUUAGUCCCGUACCGGGCCGGAACCGCAGCAUCUCCAGAGCCAGGGAAGGCCGGACCCCUUUUCCCCGCGCCCGGUGUCAAGCACCCACUUCCGGCCACAAAGGACCGGAUCGGCGCCGGAAGCGGAGGACCUGGCGCAGCAGCAGUGCGGGUUCCUGAAGAUCGAGCCCAGCGGCCUGACUGGAGCAGCGAAAAGGGGAGGAAAAUGCAGGAUGCAGCGCUGAGAGUUGCGACUCAGAUACUGUGUCCUAACCUUCUCCAUCUGGUCACUGACUUCGCUUCCGCUGUAUGAGGGAGAGACCAUAAGGCACCGUCUUACAGACAGGGAAACCGAGGCCCAGACAGGAUGGGUGUAUUACCGAGGUUAUGUAAACUGGCAGCGGCAGAACAGGGGUUCACACCCAGGCAUUCUUCUGUGUGAGUCUGUGUGCCCUUUCACCGACAGCUGGGUUUCUUUCGCCUGGUACUGAGGGUGGAGCCCAGGCCUCCUGCACGCUGGGUGCGCUGUGGCUGACUCUAAGCCCAUGACCCGACUUGAACAGCGUAGGAAAGGCACCGUCCAGGUGGAGGAAGUGUGUCCAGAGUUAUUUAUUCUAGCAGCGCUCUGAAUCUUACCUGGUCUGCUGGCAGUUUGCCUUUAGCCGAAGGGGGUUCCUUGACAAGGGUGCUUUCCACACAGUUAUGAGGAGAGAAUAAUCAAAAUUCUUCCAUUCCAUUCCUCUUCAUAUUCUUUUGUCUUUGUUUAUGUGGGUUAAGUACUAAUUUGAAACUGCUAGGCAUUUAGCUCAGUGGUUUCCCCGCCUGCUGCACAAGCGUAAGGACCCGAGUUCGAUCCCCGGCACAAAAAAAAAAAAAAAAAAAAUUGCUAUUAUUUGGCUUACAAAAACCUCACAGACAUCUUUUUGUAUGAAAAAUUAGGAGUCUACAACAAUCUGCAAGUUGGCCUGGUUUAUCUCGAAAAUGUACCUUGAAUCUGUUUAUUUCAGUUAUUUCCACUGUGAACCCAUGGUCCGUGCCAGCCCCUCCUCUCACCUGGGUUACUGCAGUCGCCUCUUGACUGAUCUCCUUGCUUCUGCUCUUUGUCUUUACUUUUUAAGAAGCCGGAAUGAUUUCAGUUGUUGUUGUUUUUUGAAACAGGGUCUCCCUAUGCAGUUCACCCUGGCUUCCAACUCAUUAUGUAGCCCAGGCUGGCCCCAAUGCGCGCUGAUCCUCCUGCCUCAGCCUCCAUAGUGCUGGGAUUACAGGCAUGCACCACCAUGCCUGGUGUCAGAAUGAUCUUUUUCCAGUGGUAGUUUUAGGCACUGGCUGCUCACUGUUUUCCUUUCUUUCUUUUUUUUUUUUCGGUACCGGG